GCCUGGGUAGCUUAGUUGGUUAAGCAUCUGACUUCGGCUCAGGUCAUGGUCUCACGGCUGGUGAGUUCGAGCCCUGCCACAGGCU
rnacentral:tRNA from 1 species